GUGGUCAGGAGAAAGGCUGCUGAGUGGUUGAGCCUGGCCAGCCGGGCACAGCCUUGUAGCAGUUGGCCUUGAUCCCCGACCUAGAGUAAACCCCCAGAAGGCUUCUUUCUGGGAUUUGAACUUUGCAGUAGCAGGUGUGAGCAUUCUAGCAGCAGUUUGAUGAUCAUGUAUGAUACUGCAAACAAGU